rnacentral:rRNA from 1 species
GACGAACGCUGGCGGCGUGCUUAACACAUGCAAGUCGAACGGAAAGGCCCUGCUUUUGUGGGGUGCUCGAGUGGCGAACGGGUGAGUAACACGUGAGUAACCUGCCCUUGACUUUGGGAUAACUUCAGGAAACUGGGGCUAAUACCGGAUAGGAGCUCCUGCUGCAUGGUGGGGGUUGGAAAGUUUCGGCGGUUGGGGAUGGACUCGCGGCUUAUCAGCUUGUUGGUGGGGUAGUGGCUUACCAAGGCUUUGACGGGUAGCCGGCCUGAGAGGGUGACCGGCCACAAUGGGACUGAGAUACGGCCCAGACGCCUACGGGAGGCAGCAGUGGGGAAUAUUGCACAAUGGGCGGAAGCCUGAUGCAGCAACGCCGCGUGCGUGAUGACGGCCUUCGGGUUGUAAACCGCUUUCGCCUGUGACGAAGCGUGAGUGACGGUAAUGGGUAAAGAAGCACCGGCUAACUACGUG